UACGAAGGGGGCUAGCGUUGCUCGAAAUCACUGGGCGUAACGCGCACGUAGGCGGGGCUUUAAGUCAGGGGUGAAAUCCUGGAGCUCAACUCCAGAACUGCCUUUGAUACUGAGGAUCUCGAGUCCGGGAGAGGUGAGUGGAACUCCGAGUGUAGAGGUGAAAUUCGUAGAUAUUCGGAAGAACACCGGUGGCGAAGGCGGCUCACUGGCCCGGUACUGACGCUGAGGUGCGAAAGCGUGGGGAGCAAACAGG
rnacentral:rRNA from 1 species